GACGAACGCUGGCGGCGCGCCUAACACAUGCAAGUCGAACGAGCGAGAGAGAGCUUGCUUUCUCGAGCGAGUGGCGAACGGGUGAGUAACGCGUGAGGAACCUGCCUCAAAGAGGGGGACAACAGUUGGAAACGACUGCUAAUACCGCAUAAGCCCACGACCCGGCAUCGGGUAGAGGGAAAAGGAGCAAUCCGCUUUGAGAUGGCCUCGCGUCCGAUUAGCUAGUUGGUGAGGUAACGGCCCACCAAGGCGACGAUCGGUAGCCGGACUGAGAGGUUGAACGGACACAUUGGGACUGAGACACGGCCCAGACUCCUACGGGAGGCAGCAGUGGGGAAUAUUGCAAAAUGGGGGAAACCCUGAUGCAGCGACGCCGCGUGGAGGAAGAAGGUCUUCGGAUUGUAAACUCCUGUUGUGGAGGAAGAUAAUGACGGUACUCAACAAGGAAGUGACGGCUAACUACGUG
rnacentral:rRNA from 1 species